GAUGAACGCUGGCGGCGUGCCUAAUACAUGCAAGUCGAGCGAACGGACGAGAAGCUUGCUUCUCUGAUGUUAGCGGCGGACGGGUGAGUAACACGUGGAUAACCUACCUAUAAGACUGGGAUAACUUCGGGAAACCGGAGCUAAUACCGGAUGAUAUUUUGAACCGCAUGGUUCAAAAGUGAAAGACGGUCUUGCUGUCACUUAUAGAUGGAUCCGCGCUGCAUUAGCUAGUUGGUAAGGUAACGGCUUACCAAGGCAACGAUGCAUAGCCGACCUGAGAGGGUGAUCGGCCACACUGGAACUGAGACACGGUCCAGACUCCUACGGGAGGCAGCAGUAGGGAAUCUGCCGCAAUGGUCGAAAGCCUGACGGAGCAACGCCGCGUGAGUGAUGAAGGUCUUCGGAUCGUAAAACUCUGUUAUUAGGGAAGAACAUAUGUGUAAGUAACUGUGCACAUCUUGACGGUACCUAAUCAGAAAGCCACGGCUAACUACGUG
rnacentral:rRNA from 1 species